rnacentral:rRNA from 1 species
CCUACGGGAGGCAGCAGUGGGGAAUAUUGCGCAAUGGGCGAAAGCCUGACGCAGCGACGCCGCGUGAGGGAUGAAGGUCUUCGGAUCGUAAACCUCUGUCAGCAGGGAAGAACGGUCACUGUGCUAAUCAGCAGUGAAUUGACGGUACCUGUAAAGGAAGCACCGGCUAACUCCGUGCCAGCAGCCGCGGGAAGACGUAGGGUGCGGGCGUUAAUAGGAAUUACUUGGCGGAAAGCGCGCGUAGGCGGUAUGUCAAGUCAAGGGUGAAAUCCCCGGGCUCAACGUGGGAACUGCCUUUGAAACUGGCAAGCUGGAGUGUGUGUGAGGAUAGUGGAAUUCCAGGUGUAGGAGUGAAAUCCGUAGAUAUCUGGAGGAACAUCAGUGGCGAAGGCGACUAUCUGGCACAUAACUGACGCUGAGGAUCGAAAGCGUGGGUAGCAAACAGGAUUAGAUACCCCUGUAGUC